UUAUCCCAAAUGUGAUAUGCAAGAUGAAUAAGUCGAGACAUUUAUACCUUCCAUUGUGGUACAGGGCUAAAGGUAAACUGCAGCUAUCUACUCUCCGUGAUUUACAAACUUUAAAUUCUGUUUCGAGUAGAUAUUGUGAUUUGAAUGAUCUUGCUAAACUAGGCAAUCUAAGGAAACUGAAAAUAAGAUUGUCAUCUAGCCAAUCGAAAAAUCUGGAGAAAAUCUUGGAUGCGGCAGGCUGCGUGCUCAACGGUAUUCGGUCCCUGUGGUUGGUCAACGAUGUUGGAAUGGAAAGCGGUGCAGAGGUUAGUCAAAUAGUUGCAAGGUGCGGUCAAAUAUACAAGUUGGAGCUGUGGGGGCCCACACUAGAACUACCGAAAGAGUUCCACUCCUAUUCAAACCUCACCAAGUUACGUUUGUAUGGAUGUGCUCUCAAGGGAGACCAAAUGGCCGUACUAGAGAAGUUGCCCAACCUGAAAAGUCUUGAUCUGCGGGGUAAUUUGUUUGAGGAAAAUACAAAAGUAUUGGUUUUCUCCGCUGGAAGCUUUCCUCGUCUUCAGUUUCUUACCUGUGGGCUUCUCAAAGGAAUAACAGAGUGGAGGGUGGAGGAAGGAGCCAUGCCUUGUCUCUGCAAAUUGGUCAUUGAUUGUUGCAGCCGAUGCCGAUUGAGUACGGUUCCAGAUGGGUUGAGACACCUUACUACCCUCAAGGAAUUGAAGAUUGAGCAUAUGCCUAAACUAUUUUGUAGUAAGCUUGAGGAAGGAGGAGAAGACUUCCAUAAAGUCCAACACAUCCCUUCCCUUGUAAUCCAAAAUACGUAUGAUUAAAAGAGUGACCAUGCCUGUACCAGCACGUAGGCCCACAAUGUACAGCUUCUGUUUGAGGAAAAUCUCCUGCAUUCAAACAUAUCUAUCAAAAUGGCUAUACAAUUUUAUCAGAUUCUGCUUGUCAUUGCAAGAAAGAUGGAUGAUUUUCACAGAGCAACA